rnacentral:rRNA from 1 species
UCCGGAGGGUGCAAGCGUUAUCCGGAUUCACUGGGUUUAAAGGGUGCGUAGGCGGGCAGGUAAGUCAGUGGUGAAAUCUCCGAGCUUAACUCGGAAACUGCCAUUGAUACUAUUUGUCUUGAAUAUUGUGGAGGUAAGCGGAAUAUGUCAUGUAGCGGUGAAAUGCUUAGAUAUGACAUAGAACACCAAUUGCGAAGGCAGCUUACUACACAAUGAUUGACGCUGAGGCACGAAAGCGUGGGGAUCAAACAGG